CAGGGACGCUGACCCAUGUUGACUCCAACACUUUCCCUCAAGUUGGCUGGAUGUCUUUUGGGUGGUGGACCGUUCUUGAUACACACGGGAAACUGUUGAGUGUGAAAAACCCUGCAGCGUUGCAGUUCUUGAAACGAACCGGUGCCCCUGGACCCUACUACCAUACCCCUGUUCAAAGGCACUUAAAUAGUUAGUCUUGCCCAUUCACCCUCUGAAUGGCACACAUACACAAUCCAUGUCUCAAUUGUCUCAAGGCUUAAAAAUCCUUCUUUAACCCGUCUCCUCCCCUUCAUCUACACUGAUUGAAGUGGAUUUAACAGGUGACAUCAAUAAGGGAUCAUAGCUUUCACCUGGAUUCACCUGGUCAGUCUCUGUCAUGGAAACAGCAGGUGUUCCUAAUGUUUUGUCUAGUCAGGGAUAGUAAAUUAUUGCUUUUGUUCCUGGUGUAUUUGAUGAUGGUGGUCUCUGUGUGUGUCCCAAAUGGCACCAGGAUAGCCUUCACAGUGCACUUCACCUCUAUGGGCUCUGGUCAAAAGUAGUGCACUUCACCUCUAUGGGCCCUGGUCUAAAGUAGUACACUUCACCUCUAUGGGCCCNNNNNNNNNNGUCUGUAGUAACAGGUCUUCAGUCUGUAGUAACAGGUCUUCAGUCUGUAGUAACAGGUCUUCAGUCUUUAGUAACAGGGCUUCAGUCUGUAGUAACAGGUCUUCAGUCUGUAGUAACAGGUCUUCAGUCUUUAGUAACAGGGCUUCAGUCUGUAGUAACAGGUCUUCAGUCUUUAGUAACGGGGCUUUAGUGUGUAGUAACAGGUCUUCAGUCUGUAGUAACGGGUCUUCAGUCUGAAGUAACGGGGCUUUAGUCUGUAGUAACAGGUCUUCAGUCUGUAGUAACAGGUCUUCAGUCUGUAGUAACAGGUCUUCAGUCUGUAGUAACAGGUCUUCAGUCUGAAGUAACGGGGCUUUAGUCUGUAGUAACAGGUCUUCAGUCUGUAGUAACUAGUCUGUUCUCCCAAACAGAACAUGUGUUCCUCUGAUCGUCACGUCAGAGCUGAUA
rnacentral:lncRNA from 13 species